rnacentral:rRNA from 1 species
AACAAACAGGUCAAGUUAAAAUUGGGACAGUAAAAAAGGAGGUUAAUAAAUUGGAGUUAUGGGAAAUAAUGCUUUUUAGGAAGGUAGAAUUUGGAUAAAAAGGGGUAAUUUGAGUUUUCCUUUAUUUUGACGCCUCGAAAUUUUGUUAAUGAGACCGGGAUUAGAUACCCCGUUAUUUAAAAUGUAAAUUUUAAUUGUGUUUGGAUUUACUUGAGUACUACGAGAAGUUGAGAAUAUAUCUUAUAUGGUUCUUAAAACUCAAAAAACUUGGCGGUGCCUUAUAUCCUUCCAGGGGAACCUGUCCUGUAAUCGAUAGUCCACGAUUUAACUUUCUUUCUUUUGAAUUAAAAUAAUCAGCUUGUAUACCGUCGUCGCCAGAUCACCUUUAAGAGUUAUGAAGUUGUCGGUGAGAGAUUAAAAAAGAAUUUAGUUAAUUUAUAGUUGGUUUAAUUUUUAAAGCUCUAGACGUCAGAUCAAGGUGCAGCUUAUAAGGAAGUAGAGAUGGGUUACAAUAAUAAGUUAUUAUUAUGAAUUUUUUGUUGUAAUUAGCAAAAUUGAAAGAGGACUUGGAAGUAAUUAGUUUAAAGAUAAGAGAGUUUAAAUGAAAAUAGGCUCUGAGGUGCGC